rnacentral:rRNA from 1 species
AUUGAACGCUGGCGGCAGGCCUAACACAUGCAAGUCGAACGAGUGGCGGACGGGUGAGUAAUGUCUGGGAAACUGCCUGAUGGAGGGGGAUAACUACUGGAAACGGUAGCUAAUACCGCAUACCAUCGGAUGUGCCCAGAUGGGAUUAGCUAGUAGGUGGGGUAAAGGCUCACCUAGGCGACGAUCCCUAGCUGGUCUGAGAGGAUGACCAGCCACACUGGAGCUGAGACACGAUCCAGACUCAUACGGGAGGCAGCGGUGGGGAAUAUUGCCAAAUGGGCGCAAGCCUGAUGCAACCAUACCGCGUGUAUGAAGGGGGCAUUCAGGUUGUAAAGUACUUUCAGCGGGGAGGCAUUGCCCGCAGAAGAAGCACCGGCUAACUCCGUGCCAGCAGCCGCGGUAAUUC